GCAGGAAGUUUGAUAUAAGGUUCUUCGUAGAAGGCCCUGGAGAAAGACUCCUUGCCGAAGAAGAAAACGACGCACUGCCAUACGGAAUUUAUGGUUUUCCAGUUCUUCACGCCGACAAAGACUGCAUCAUUCUGUCGAGGAUGCCACCAUAUGGAAACAAAACGCUAUGCACGUACUGGGUUCGCAGAAGUGUUGUUGGAAAUCUCAACUGGAAAUGUAACUUCAUAUUCGACGCCUUUUGCAGGUCACAAGCGAUUGUGGUGAAAGACAUGAAAUCUUGCCAAUAAACACACGAAAA
rnacentral:lncRNA from 1 species